rnacentral:tRNA from 1 species
GGAACAGUGGCAGAGCGGACUAAUGCACCCGCCUUGAAAGCGGACGGCCCAAAAGGCCCGGGGGUUCAAAUCCCUCCUGUUCCGCCG